rnacentral:rRNA from 1 species
AACGAACGCUGGCGGCGUGGAUAAGACAUGCAAGUCGAACGGGAUUACUUCGAGUAGCAAUACCUGAAGUAAUUUAGUGGCGAACGGGUGCGUAACACGUGGGGAAUCUGCCGAGAAGUGGGGGAUAGCUCGUCGAAAGGCGAAUUAAUACCGCAUAUGAUCAGGGAAGACAUCUUUCCAACAUCAAAGCCGGGGCAACCUGGCGCUUCUUGAUGACCCCGCGGCCUAUCAGCUAGUUGGUGAGGUAACGGCCCACCAAGGCGAUGACGGGUAGCUGGUCUGAGAGGACGACCAGUCACACUGGAACUGAGACACGGUCCAGACACCUACGGGUGGCAGCAGUCGAGAAUUUUUCUCAA